rnacentral:rRNA from 1 species
AGCCACUGCUAUGGGGGUCCGACUAAGCCAUGCGAGUCAUGGGGCGCGCUCUGCGCGCACCGGCGGACGGCUCAGUAACACGUCGGUAACCUACCCUCGGGAGGGGGAUAACCCCGGGAAACUGGGGCUAAUCCCCCAUAGGCCUGAGGUACUGGAAGGUCCUCAGGCCGAAAGGGGCCUUCGCCCGCCCGAGGAUGGGCCGGCGGCCGAUUAGGUAGUUGGUGGGGUAACGGCCCACCAAGCCGAAGAUCGGUACGGGCCAUGAGAGUGGGAGCCCGGAGAUGGACACUGAGACACGGGUCCAGGCCCUACGGGGCGCAGCAGGCGCGAAACCUCCGCAUGCGGGAAACCGCGACGGGGGGACCCCCAGUGCCGUGGCAUCGCCACGGCUUUUCCGGAGUGUAAAGAGCUCCGGGAAUAAGGGCUGGGCAAGGCCGGUGGCAGCCGCCGCGGUAAUACCGGCGGCCCGAGUGGUGGCCGCUAUUAUUGGGCCUAAAGCGUCCGUAGCCGGGCCCUUAAGUCCCUGGCGAAAUCCCACGGCUCAACCGUGGGGCUUGCGGGGGAUACUGCGGGCCUUGGGACCGGGAGAGGCCGGGGGUACUCCUGGGGUAGGGGUGAAAUCCUAUAAUCCCAGGAGGACCGCCAGUGGCGAAGGCGCCCGGCUGGAACGGGUCCGACGGUGAGGGACGAAGGCCAGGGGAGCGAACCGGAUUAGAUACCCGGGUAGUCCUGGCUGUAAAGGAUGCGGGCUAGGUGUCGGGCGAGCUUCGAGCUCGCCCGGUGCCGAAGGGAAGCCGUUAAGCCCGCCGCCUGGGGAGUACGGCCGCAAGGCUGAAACUUAAAGGAACUGGCGGGGGAGCACUACAAGGGGUGGAGCGUGCGGUUU